rnacentral:rRNA from 1 species
UGAGAGCGGGGAACGUCCUAUCAGGUAGUUGGUGAGGUAACGGCUCACCAAGCCAUUGACGGGUAGCGGGUGUGAGAGCAUGGCCCGCCACAUCGAAACUGAGACACUGUUCGGACUCCUACGGGAGGCUGCAGUAACGAAUCUUCCGCAAUGCGCGAAAGCGUGACGGAGCAAUGCCGCGUGCAGGAUGAAGCCCCUCGGGGUGUAAACUGCUGUCAGGGAUUAGGAACACAAUGACCAGUCCCAAAGGAAGAGACGACUAACUCUGUGCCAGCAGUCGCGGUAAUACAGAGGUCUCGAGCGUUAGUCGGAAUCACUGGGCUUAAAGCGUGCGUAGGCGGAUGUGCAGGCGUCGUGUGAAAGCCCUCGGCUCAACCGGGGAAUUGCACGGCGAACCGCAUGUCUUGAGACAAGUAGAGGCCGGUCGGAACGAUAGGUGGAGUGGUGAAAUGCGUUGAUAUCUAUCGGAACGCCAAAGGUGAAGACAGACCGCUGGGCUUGUUCUGACGCUGAGGCACGAAAGCGUGGGUAGCAAACGGGAUUAGAUACCCCGGUAGUCCACGCCCUAAACAAUGUGCACUAGAUCGAGGGGGGUACUGACGCCCUUCUCGGUCGAAGUAAAAACGUUGAGUGCACCGCCUGGGGAGUACGGUCGCAAGGCUAAAACUCAAAGGAAUUGACGGGGGCUCACACAAGCGGUGGAGCAUGUGGCUCAAUUCGAAGCAACGCGAAGAACCUUAUCCUGGGCUUGACAUGCACGGAUUAGUUCGCUGAAAGGCGAAUGACACUUUCGAGUGGAACGUGCACAGGUGCUGCAUGGCUGUCGUCAGCUCGUGCUGUGAAGUGUCGGGUUAAGUCCCUUAACGAGCGAAACCCCUAUUACUAGUUGCCAACGCGUUAUGGCGGGGACUCUAGUGAGACUGCC